GUGGCUUCCCGUUUUCCAUCCCUGAUUCCGCCAAUUAGGGUUAGGUUUGUUGUUGUUGUUCUGUCCUGGAUGACGUUACAACAACGGCUCUUACGCCGGUCCUUCAUCCUGUGAAUCAAGUUGUUUCAAGGUCCUCUGGUGUCACGACGAUCGAUUCCCCCUUCGUAUCCUUCUUGACUACCAUCAAAAUCAAAUCUUUUGCUAUUAGAAUAUAUGGAAGGUUUCAGACCGACUUGCACCAGCAACACAGAAGACUAAUGUUACUAUGAUUGAAAGGGUAGACUUCCAUGAUAGCGAUGCUUUCCCCUGCUUUUCCUUUUUCAACUUAAUGAAAAGGUUUUAUGUGAUAUAUUGGCGGAUAAUAAUGGUAUUAAGAAACUCCAGGGGGUGUACUCUGAUCACAAUCGACGAGGGCUGUUGUUUCUAUGGGUUUAGGACUUCAAAGAUUUAUGUACAACUUCCCCAAAUUAUGUUAAUCUCUCCUCCGAUUGAGCCCCACCAUAUACAUAGGACUACUGAUGCCAAUUUUGCCCUUGCCCUAAGAUCUGGAAAAUCGUUUCAGCUGGAAAUUCGUUGAUGUGUAUAAGCCUUUCUUUAGACCCCAAAAGACGAUCUUCGUUUGCCUAACUUGCCACCAGAUUCUGAUACUGUACAAAUUUUUCGACUUGGGAAAGGUCUUUGGAAAUGUUGCUGCUGUAGAGAUAUAUCCAAAUUCACGAGGGAUCAACCGAUUCUCGCUGUUUUCUGUGAGCCGGGUGUGGCAAAAGUGAAUGUCAUCUGUUGGAUUGCAACACAGAUAAUGAAUAAGGAGAGUUUAAGCCGUUUGAUAAUUGUAGUACAAAAUCUCCUUAUCGUAUAUCUUAAUAGUUAUUUUUUUGGGAUUAUUGGUCAGUGAUUUAAUAUACUGUGGUGUUUAUGUUAAAGAAAUACCACUUUACUUUAUUUAUGUUUGAAUUUUUUUUCAGGGGGAGAAAUGAGACCACUAACUUAGAAGAAAAUAACAAAAAAAUUCAUACGAUGAGGCUGUUGUGCUAUUUGUCAAGGUACUUUAGAGUGACCUUAGAGAUUUGGUUGGGAGUUGAUGUAUGACACCAUGGUUUGAUUUAUAUUUUGAUUUGUAUCUUAUGGAGGAAAAGAGGUAUUUUAUGUCUCAUGUGUAGACUUUUUGUAUAUACCUUUUUUAUUUGUAAUAUACUAACAUUUCAUGAUGGUUCUAUUUCUAUUGCUCCUCAAUUGAAAGAGGUUGAUAAA